CCCUCCUUAAAGGGGCAGCAUCUUAAAGGCUGAGAUGGCUUCUGGGUGGACCCGCGUCUUGCAGCCUUCUCAUUUUACAGAUGGAAAACUGAGGCUUGUCCAAGAUCACACAAAACUGAAAGUGAGAAGAUAGUCACCUAUGGACCAGAAAGCAGGCCCUCACCAAACUUCAAACCUGCCAGCCUGGAUCGUGGGAUUCCCACCUCCACAACUGGUGAAGAACACGAACACAGGGAGUUAGAGUCCCACAUGCUGAUAACUCCAUCAAGAGAGAAGAAAGAUUUUUCUCUUCCAGCUGCAGAAUGAGAACCUCCAGG